GAAGAGGAAGAAAAGGCCAACGGACACGGGAGCAGAUACAGCUUCUCCCUGUAAGCCAAAGAAAGGCAAAUUCCAACCACAAAGGGAAGCUACUCUGGUCUCCGGGAUUGGCAAAGAGGAAAAUGAGUGACAGGACCUGAUGUGUCAGGGAAGGAAGGGGAGGGCCGGCUUCUGCGGCACUGCUGAUGGGAGUGGUAACUGGGGUCCUGAUCUCACGGUUGACGUGGCCCUCACGUGAGCUGGAGCCGACGCGUGCAGACGUCCUUCUAAUUCUAGUCUUCGUUUGGUCCGGUUGCACUCUCCCUAUCGCCCAGAGGGCGAGAGGGCCUGUGGCCUGGGGAAGGAGGACGAGGUUACUGCCUGGAUCCCAGCAGGGCGCUGUGCCAUUUGGGAACAAAGGAAUAGUCUGCCUGGAAUCCCUGCAGAUCUUGGGGCCGGAGGCCAGUCCAACCCUUGGAGCAGGAAGAAACGCAAAGUUGUCAAGAACCAAGUAGGUCAUAAUAAGGGUGAUGGCAUUAUUUGGGGUGGAGCAUGGUGGCGACUGCAACUCGAGUGGGCCCGUGGACCCCUCCACAUCUCCCUUCUUCCCUUCUUCCCUACACCAUUUCGGAUCUUGGAAAAUAAAUUGCUCUGCAGGUACAAGACAGGGAAGCAAAUAGCUGAGAAGGGGUGGGCGUCAAGAGAGUCCAGGGGUUGGGAGGAUGUUACUCCAAAUUACUGUUUGAGGUACAGUGUCCUUGGUGUUGGUCCGUCGACCAAGCACUCACUUCUGAAGUUUGUCAGUCUUGAAGGUUUAGUGGAAGCAGAAACCGAGGUAAGGGAGGUAAGAAAUUGCUCCCGAGCAAAGGUAGUUG
rnacentral:lncRNA from 1 species